rnacentral:rRNA from 1 species
GUGCCAGCCGCCGCGGUAAUACGGAAGGUCCGGGCGUUAUCCGGAUUUAUUGGGUUUAAAGGGAGCGCAGGCUGGCUUUUAAGCGUGACGUGAAAUGCGGCGGCUCAACCGUCCGAAGUGCGUCGCGAACUGGAGGCCUUGAGUGAGUUCGACGCCGGCGGAAUUCGUGGUGUAGCGGUGAAAUGCUUAGAUAUCACGAGGAACCCCGAUUGCGAAGGCAGCCGGCGAGGCCUUUACUGACGCUAAAGCUCGAAGGUGCGGGUAUCGAACAGGAUUAGAUACCCUGGUAGUCCGCACGGUAAACGAUGGAUGCCCGCUGUUUGCGAUACACUGUGAGCGGCCAAGCGAAAGCGUUAAGCAUCCCACCUGGGGAGUACGCCGGCAACGGUGAAACUCAAAGGAAUUGACGGGGGCCCGCACAAGCGGAGGAACAUGUGGUUUAAUUCGAUGAUACGCGAGGAACCUUACCCGGGCUUGAACUGCAGCGGAACGAUUCAGAGAUGAUGAGGUCCUUCGGGACCGCUGUGGAGGUGCUGCAUGGUUGUCGUCAGCUCGUGCCGUGAGGUGUCGGCUUAAGUGCCAUAACGAGCGCAACCCCUCUCUUCAGUUGCCAUCGGGUUAUGCCGGGCACUCUGGAGACACUGCCACCGUAAGGUGUGAGGAAGGUGGGGAUGACGUCAAAUCAGCACGGCCCUUACGUCCGGGGCUACACACGUGUUACAAUGGGUGGUACAGAGAGCCGGUCUGCCGCAAGUCAGAUCCAAUCAAGAAAGCCAUCCUCAGUUCGGACUGGGGUCUGCAACCCGACCCCACGAAGCUGGAUUCGCUAGUAAUCGCGCAUCAGCCAUGGCGCGGUGAAUACGUUCCCGGGCCUUGCACACACCGCCCGU